rnacentral:rRNA from 1 species
AGUAAUGUCUGGGAAACUGCCUGAUGGAGGGGGGUAACUACUGGAAACGGUAGCUAAUACCGCAUAACGGCGCAAGACCAAAGUGGGGGACCUUCGGGCCUCAUGCCAUCAGAUGUGCCCAGAUGGGAUUAGCUAGUAGGUGGGGUAACGGCUCACCUAGGCGACGAUCCCUAGCUGGUCUGAGAGGAUGACCAGCCACACUGGAACUGAGACACGGUCCAG